ACCUUCUUUAAAACCUUGCUGCCUGUCUACUUUCGCAUGACUUCCCCAGCCUGUGCCAGCCAGGUUGUGGAACGUCGCCUGGGGGCAUUCAAAUAAAUUACCUGGCCCUUUGUUGCCUCUCUUUGUCUGCUUAUUUUGGCUAGAAUUUAUCUUACAUUUGGUGCCGAAAUCCCGGGAAGGAGCGUGAGCACGGGGCCCCGACCGGCCACCGGCGGCCCCGCCCCCUUCUUCCCUGACCCAGGACCUCAGCCUGCUCUCUGCUGCAUGGACUAUUUUCUGAAUAAAAGCACCAACUUUCUGAAGCCCUCUCAACUGACCAGUGAUAGAGACCUACCUACACUCUUUACUGCGCCCCUUCUCAGCAUGAAGCAGCCAGAGUGAUCGUCACCCCUUUUCCCUGGCAGCAGCUAGAGUCUCUAUCUGUAGAGAAGAAAAUGAGACAGAAACCAUAAGCUAGAUGAAGUGAAGUGAAAGCCUCUAAAAAAAUCAGGGUGAGAUAUUUGCAGUCAGAGCAAUAUACAUGCUACAUGCUACGAAACUCCCCCCACGACGCCCCUUGUCAGCCAGAAGUAGCCAGAUCAAGUCGUUGCCCAUUAUGACCAAAAGGCUGAAAUGUAAGGUUGAAGGCACUGGGGGGAGGGGUGAAUACGUCAGACACUGAUGACGUACCGAAGUCCCCGGCUGCUGACCCCUCCCAACCUGAAAAAUGUGCCUUAGGCUAGCCAAUCCUCGUGCCGCUGUAAAUCUAAGAUCUGCCUCCCCCUACCUUCUUUAAAAACUCGCUGCCUGUCUAUUUUUGUGUGACUUCCCCGGCCUGUGACAGCCAGGUUGUGGAACCUCGCCUGGGGGCAUUCAAAUAAAUUACCUGGCCCUUU